rnacentral:tRNA from 1 species
GGAUUGUAGCUCAGUGGUAGAGCACUUGCCUUGCAUGUGUGAGGCACUGGGUUCAAUUCUCAGCACCA